UAAAUUUUGAUUUCAUAUUUCUCUCUCUAUCUCUCUCUCAUCCCUAGAUUCCCAUCCCAAUCUCACACCCUUUCCGAUUUUAGUUUCUUUGCGUUUUCUUCCACUUCUCAUCUUCAUCUAUGUUGUUCCUUCUGUAUUACUCGUUUAUAUUGAUGAAACGAACUGCAGGAGUUGUGAUUGAUGAUGCAUCUUCUGGGCUUUGACGUCCUCUUACUGCCUCGCCACGUAAGGAGCGUGCAACUAGACAUGGUCUUAAAGCAAAGUAACAAGGAGAGGAGGACAACAACGUUGAUAUGGAAGAGGAGGUCGUCAUGACGAUGGAGAAUGUUGUUGCCCCUCCACCCGACAUGCAUGUCGCGAGAGAUUCUUUUUCCAGAAGACCAUAGAACUUGCCAUCCCUUAGACCUUUGAGGAUCAUGUUGCUCAUCAGCUAUGACGGAAAGAGUUCAUCUUGAAGCAAAUCCAACUCCGUUUUCCACGACUGGGCUUGUUGAAUAGUCGUCUGCUCUCUCUCCAGUGCUUGUUGAUAACUUGCCAUUGACUUUUCAGCCAACGACUUAGCAGACACCAACUCUUUCUCUAGCAAGGACUUCUUUGCCUCCAGAAU
rnacentral:lncRNA from 1 species